GAUGAAGAACGUAGCGAAAUGCGAUAAGUAAUGUGAAUUGCAGAAUUCAGUGAAUCAUCGAAUCUUUGAACGCACAUUGCGCCCGCUAGUAUUCUGGCGGGCAUGCCUGUUCGAGCGUCAUUUCAACCAUUAAGCCCCCAGGCCUAGGCUUGUGUUGGAGCCCUGCGGCUGUCCGCAGCCUCCUAAAAACAGUGGCGGGCUCGCUAUCAUACCGAGUGCAGUAGUUUACUCUUCGCUCAGGGCGUGUAGCGGGUUCCGGCCGUAAAACCCCCUAUUUCUAAAGGUUGACCUCGGAUCAGGUAGGAAUACCCGCUGAACUUAAGCAUAUCAAUAAGCGGGAGGA
rnacentral:misc_RNA from 1 species